rnacentral:rRNA from 1 species
UGGCGGCGUGCUUAUACAUGCAAGUCGAACGAGAAGGCUUCCUUCGGGAGGUGAGUAGAGUGGCGAACGGGUGAGUAACGCGUAGGUAAUCUAUCCUUGAGUUCGAGAUAACCCCGGGAAACUGGGGCUAAUACCGGAUGAAGCAGAGAUGUUAAAGGGGGGCAACUUCCGCUUGAGGUUGAGCCUGCGUCCUAUCAGCUGGUUGGUGGUGUAACGGACUACCAAGGCGACGACGGGUAGCUGGUCUUAGAGGAUGAUCAGUCACACUGGCACUGAGACACGGGCCAGACUCCUACGGGAGGCAGCAGUAGGGAAUAUUGCGCAAUGGGGGAAACCCUGACGCAGCGACGCCGCGUGAGUGAUGACGGCCCUAUGGGUUGUAAAGCUCUGUAAGGAGGGAAGAACCGGUUGGUGUAACGGCCAGCUCUGACGGUACCUCCAAAGUAAGGACCGGCUAAAUACGUGCCAGCAGCCGCGGUAAUACGUAUGGUCCGAACGUUGUCCGGAAUGACUGGGCGUAAAGGGUGCGUAGGCGGCAAUACCAGUCAGGUGUGAAAUCCCCGGGCUCAACCUGGGAAC